UGAAAUUUCCCCAAGCUGCUUGUCCCACCAGCAAGAAGAAACACCAGAACAGCGACGAAGAAGAAGAAACAUAACACACACACAAAGGAGGUCAGAUUUAUGUUUUGAUCAUAGGAGAAAGGGGGUGCCCAAAAUGGCUGCAACAACAUUUUCCAUGCCAAGUAACGGCUCACAUUCUCAGCAUUCGAACCAUGAACUCAGAUAAAAUAUCAUCACAGCCAUUAGAAAAAAAAUCACAAAUCUUCAAAUCAAUAAACCCAAAACCAACAAAUCAAAAAAAAUCAAAACUUAGAUUUCUUCAAAUCAAGAACUAACAAAACACCAGCGAGAAG
rnacentral:lncRNA from 1 species